rnacentral:tRNA from 1 species
GGUGCCAUAGCUCAGUUGGUAGAGCAAAGGGCUGAAAAUCCUUGUGUCCCCGGUUCGAUUCCUGGUGGCACCA